rnacentral:rRNA from 1 species
ACUCCGGUUGAUCCUGCCGGACCCGACCGCUAUCGGGGUAGGGCUAAGCCAUGGGAGUCGAACGCCCCGCCGCUGCGGGGCGUGGCGGACGGCUGAGUAACACGUGGCUAACCUACCCUCGGGACGGGGAUAACCCCUCGGGAAACUGGGGCUAAUCCCCGAUAGGCGGGGGGUGCCUGGAAGGGUCCUCCGCCGAAAGGGGCCGCGGGGGGUUAUCGCCCGCGGUCCGCCCGAGGAUGGGGCUGCGGCCCAUCACGGUAGUUGGCGGGGUAAUGGCCCGCCAAGCCUACGACGGGUAGGGGCCGUGAGAGCGGGAGCCCCCAGAUGGGCACUGAGACAAGGGCCCAGGCCCUACGGGGCGCACCAGGCGCGAAAACUCCGCAAUGCGGGCAACCGUGACGGGGCUACCCCGAGUGCCCCCCUUGGGGGGGCUUUUCCCCGCUGUAAGUAGGCGGGGGAAUAAGCGGGGGGCAAGACUGGUGUCAGCCGCCGCGGUAAUACCAGCCCCGCGAGCGGUCGGGGUGCUUACUGGGCCUAAAGCGCCCGUAGCCGGCUCGACAAGUCCCCGCCUAAAGCCCCGGGCUCAACCCGGGGAGUGGCGGGGAUACUGUCGGGCUAGGGGGCGGGAGAGGCCGAGGGUACUCCCGGGGUAGGGGCGAAAUCCAUUAAUCCCGGGAGGACCACCAGUGGCGAAGGCGCUCGGCUGGAACGCGCCCGACGGUGAGGGGCGAAAGCCGGGGGAGCGAACCGGAUUAGAUACCCGGGUAGUCCCGGCUGUAAACGAUGCGGGCUAGGUGUUGGGCGGGCGUGCGAGCCCGCCCAGUGCCGCAGGGAAGCCGUUAAGCCCGCCGCCUGGGGAGUACGGCCGCAAGGCUGAAACUUAAAGGAACUGGCGGGGGAGCACCACAAGGGGUGGAGCCUGCGGCUUAAUUGGAGUCAACGCCGGGAACCUCCACCGGGGGCGACAGCAGGAUGACGGCCACGCUGAAGGCCUUGCCCGACGCGCUGAGGGGAGGUGCAUGGCCGUCGCCAGCUCGUGCCGUGAGGUGUCCUGUUAAGUCAGGCAACGAGCGAGACCCCCGCCCCUAGUUGCCAUCCCCGGGGCGACCCGGGGGGCACACUAGGGGGACUGCCGCCGCUAAGGCGGAGGAAGGAGGGGGCAACGGCAGGUCAGCAUGCCCCUAAACCCCCGGGCUGCACGCGGGCUACAAUGGCGGGGACAGCGGGUGCCGACCCCGAAAGGGGGAGGCAAUCCCUCAAACCCCGCCUCAGUUGGGAUCGAGGGCUGCAACUCGCCCUCGUGAACGUGGAAUCCCUAGUAACCGCGCGUCAUCAUCGCGCGGUGAAUACGUCCCUGCUCCUUGCACACACUGCCCGUCGCUCCACCCGAGGGGGGAGGGGGUGAGGCCCUCUCCGCCGGGAGGGGGUCGAACCCCCUCCCCCCGAGGGGGGAGAAGUCGUAACAAGGUAGCCGUAGGGGAACCUGCGGCUGGAUCACCUC